ACGCUAAUUUCCGUAUUCGCUACAUCUCCAUCCAUUGCUGAUCCUUCAUUUCCUGUUUGACUCGGCUUGGUGCAGGUCAUCGUCAGUUUCUCUCGUGUGAAAAAUCACGAGAAAAGAAGGCGAGAUGGUCAUUAAAUCUGUAAGAGCAUUCUUUAAGGAAGUUGACAUGACUUAGCUUCAGAAAGGUAUAAAACUUGCUACUCUUCAAAAUAGCUAAUACAGGUCAAAGGUGGAGAAUGUCCAGAAAAACUUCAGACUUUCUAGGUCAUUAAAUCUGCGCGAGCGUUUUUUAAGAAAAUUGGCAUGACCUGAUUUUUGGAAGAAGUAAAACUUGCUGCUCUUCAAAAUGACUAUACACGCUGGUCCAUAAUCCCAAAGAUAGAGGAUAUCCACAAAGAUUUUAUUCUUAUAUAGGAUACUCCAAAAUGAUGUUGCCAAGUCUAACUGUUAUGAUGCAUAAAUAUCUGUGAUACAUUCCAUUUGUAUGUAGCUACGUUUAAAUGCAAAAACAUCCUGUACAAAAUGAAGAAACAAACUCGUAAUAAGAUUCGUCAAUUUAUUUACAUUUUUUUAUACUUUGUAAACAACUUGCGCAACAACGCUACGCUACGCGCACUUAUUUUGGAGAAAUAUUAAAAAUGUAGCUCAACUACUUACAUAUUAUUAACAAAAUAAAUUAUUGUAUUUACAUA
rnacentral:lncRNA from 13 species